rnacentral:lncRNA from 1 species
UUGUUGCGAGGGCAAGAGCAGGAUGCUUGUAUAUGAGUACAUGCCAAAUCUUUCCCUUGACGCACAUCUCUUCCACAGCAACAGAACAGUACUAAAUUGGAGUGUCCGUUACCAAAUAUCCCUGGAAAUUGCAAGAGGAUUAGCAUACUUGCAUGAGAGUUGCAGGGAUUGUAUCAUACACUGUGAUAUCAAGCCACAAAACAUACUUCUUGAUACCUCAUUCGUACCUAAAGUUGCAGACUUUGGUAUGGCCAAAUUUCUAGGGAGGGAUUUUAGCCGAGUUUUGACUACAUUUAGAGGAACUAUAGGUUAUCUUGCACCUGAAUGGAUUAGCGGAGUGGCCAUUACACCAAAAGUUGAUGUCUACAGCUACGGGAUGAUGUUGCUUGAAAUAGUAUCGGGCCAGAGUAAUACGUGUAAAGGAAAUACUACCAAUGGUGAUCAUUCAGCAUAUUUCCCUGUACAAGUCGCACGUAAACUUCUGGACAGAGAUGUUGCAAGCUUGCUGGACAUCAAGUUACUUGAUGUUAACCUGGAUGAGGCUGAGAGGGUCUGCAAGGUGGCCUGCUGGUGUAUCCAAGACAGCGAGACCAAUCGACCAACCAUGGGUGAAGUGGUUCAAAUUCUCGAGGGUUUGUUAGAACUCGAAGUACCCCCGUUGCCAAGACAGCUUCAAGCUAUUGCAGGAAACUCGCCUUAAACAUACUUAUAGCGCGGUCUGAAGGCAAAGCUGUACUAGUUAUGGUUAAGAUGUGGUACUCAAUGGGAAUAACAUUAUGGACCUUUUUGCUUCCAUGGUUCAUAAACAUUGUAAACCUUUAUCUUCUGAACUUAUCUUUGACGCAUCCAAUGAUAUUUCGGAUAGAAUGAUCCCAUGACUAUCUUAUACUAUGACUAGCCUACUAGUUUCUCUGUUUUGUGCAUUCAAUGCUGGAUGUAAUGCACAGAGUUAGUACUCAGUAAUGAUAUUUAGGGCAAGUAAGCUUCCAUAUAAGCUCUGUGUUGAGUAGGAAUAUUUUAUUUUUCUUUCCUUUUAUGUCUGUGGGAAGCAUGGUUUGAACCAUGUAAAUCACUUAGUUAGCGGAACUAUAGAUUAUCUUGCACCCGAAUGGAUCAGCGGAGUGGCCAUUACACCAAAACUUGAUGUCUAUAGCUAAGGGGUGAUGUUAAUUUAGAUACUAUCACGUUGGAAUACCAGUAUACCACAUGUAAGGGAAAUACUAGUUCAUGUGUAAAAAAAACUAGAGUGAGACAAUAAGCACCUUUUUUCCCCAACUUCUCUAUAAGCAAAUUAGUUCAUGAGUGAAUUUCAAAUUGCAAGCAAAGGUGGCAAGGUUUUAGUCGUACUCAUCCUAAAUUACAAGCAAUUGGGCGGCAUCGUUUAAGACAUGUAACGCAGCUUGAACUGUAAGAACAAUAAAACAAAUCAGCCGGCAUUACUUGGGGGAAAGGACAAAGAAGGCGAGGAUUCUGCGAUUUUGGAUUUACCGAUUGCCCGUUGCAGCCGCCGGACUGACGACCGAGCCCUCGACUUGACCGCGCUCGUCGGUCGGCUCCGUCUCCGGACUCCUGCUCGCUCGCCGCCGCCGUGGCGGACCGCGGACGGAGCCGCAGCGCCAACCUCGAAGCGUGGCCCAUUUCGGCGGCACCGUUGUCCAGACUCCGAUCCCCUCGCGGGAAGACCGUCGCAGUCGUGGCUGCGGCCCAGAUGCCACUCACGGUCUUUUCAUCUCUCUUGGGCCUCAACUUCC